UGGUGGAGUGAUUUGUCUGGUUAAUUCCGAUAACGAACGAGACCUUAACCUGCUAAAUAGCCAGGCCGGCUCCGGCUGGUCGCAGGCUUCUUAGAGGGACUGUCAGCGUCUAGCUGACGGAGGUUUGAGGCAAUAACA
rnacentral:rRNA from 1 species